AGUGAACGCUGGCGGUAGGCCUAACACAUGCCAGUCGAACGGCAGCACAAUAAGAGCUUGCUCUUACGGGUGGCGAGUGGCGGACGGGUGAGGAAUACAUCGGAAUCUACUUUUUCGUGGGGGAUAACGUAGGGAAACUUACGCUAAUACCGCAUACGACCUACGGGUGAAAGCAGGGGAUCUUCGGACCUUGCGCGAUUGAAUGAGCCGAUGUCGGAUUAGCUAGUUGGCGGGGUAAAGGCCCACCAAGGCGACGAUCCGUAGCUGGUCUGAGAGGAUGAUCAGCCACACUGGAACUGAGACACGGUCCAGACUCCUACGGGAGGCAGCAGUGGGGAAUAUUGGACAAUGGGCGCAAGCCUGAUCCAGCCAUACCGCGUGGGUGAAGAAGGCCUUCGGGUUGUAAAGCCCUUUUGUUGGGAAAGAAAAGCAGCAGGUUAAUACCCCGCUGUUCUGACGGUACCCAAAGAAUAAGCACCGGCUAACUUCGUG
rnacentral:rRNA from 1 species